GCGGACCGACGGGAGCUUGCUCCCUUAGGUCAGCGGCGGACGGGUGAGUAACACGUGGGUAACCUGCCUGUAAGACUGGGAUAACUCCGGGAAACCGGGGCUAAUACCGGAUGCUUGAUUGAACCGCAUGGUUCAAUCAUAAAAGGUGGCUUUUAGCUACCACUUACAGAUGGACCCGCGGCGCAUUAGCUAGUUGGUGAGGUAACGGCUCACCAAGGCGACGAUGCGUAGCCGACCUGAGAGGGUGAUCGGCCACACUGGGACUGAGACACGGCCCAGACUCCUACGGGAGGCACCAGUAGGGAAUCUUCCCCAAUGGACCAAAGUCUGACGGAGCACCGCCGCGUGAGUGAUGAAGGUUUUCGGAUCGUAAAACUCUGUUGUUAGGGAAGAACAAGUACCGUUCGAAUAGGGC
rnacentral:rRNA from 1 species